rnacentral:rRNA from 1 species
AUGGCGUCUAGAGCAGCGGCGGCCGCCGUGGUCGUCCUGGCCUUGGUCUGCGCCGUGCAGUCGUCCCUCUCGGCGGCGACCGCCGGGGGUCUGUCCCCUGACUUCCACGCGGUGACGUGCCCUCCGCUGGAGCAAAUCGUGGCGUUCCACGUGGGGGAGGCCUUCAAGAACGACUCCGGCGUGGCGCCGGCGCUCAUCCGCAUCCUCUUCCACGACUGCUUCCCGCAGGGCUGCGACGGGUCGGUGCUCAUCGAGGGCCCCGGCACGGAGCAGGACGAGAUCCCCAACAAGACGCUCCGCAGGGUGGCGCUGGACCUCAUUGACCGCAUCCGUAUGCGCGUGCACAGCGCCUGCAGCCGCACGGUCUCGUGCGCCGACAUCACCGUGCUCGCCACCCGCGAGUCGCUCGUCCUGGCCGGCGGGCCCCGCUUCGAGGUCGCCCUCGGCCGGCGCGACUCCUUCUUCCCGGCGUCGCCGGUCCAGGUCGGCCUGCUGCCGGCGCCCUUCCACCCCGUGGACAAGCUCAUCAAGUCCUUCGGCGACCGCGGCCUGAACGUGACGGACCUGGUGGCCCUCUCCGGCGCGCACACCUUCGGCGUCGCCCACUGCCCGGCCUUCGAUGAUCGCUUCAAGAAUGGCUUCGACACGAACCCGGCCAUCGACCCCAAGUUCGCCACGGGGCUGCGGAACAAGUGCGCCAAGGACACCCCCGAAGGCACCCUGAAGCAGAACCUCGACGUGCGCACGCCGGACGUCUUCGACAACAAGUACUACUUCGACCUGAUCGCGAGGCAGGGCCUGUUCAAGUCGGACCAGGGCCUCUUCGACCACCCCACCACCAAGCGCAUGGCCACCCGCUUCUCGCUCAACCAGGACGCCUUCUUUGAGCAGUUCGCCAGGUCCAUGGCCAAGAUGGUCAACAUGGACCUGCUCACAGGCGACAGGGGCGAGAUCCGGGCCAGAUGCGCCGUCCGCGGUACUCCCCCACGCAUCCAGGCCGCCGCCGCCGGCGAUGACGAGGGGAUCUCCGCCGACAUGUAA